UACAGGGAGGACCCCUCUUGUAAUGAGGUC
rnacentral:piRNA from 1 species